rnacentral:lncRNA from 1 species
CCCUGAGCUAACAUCUGCUGCCAAUCUUCCUCUUUUUUUGCUGAGGAAGACUGGCCCUGAGCUAACAUCCGUGGCCAUCUUUUUCUACUUUAUAUAUGGGACGCCUACCACAGUAUGGCUUGACAAGCGGUGCCAUGUCCGCACCCGGGAUCUGAACCGGCGAAUCCCGGGCUGCUGAAUUGGAACGUGCGCACUUAACCACUGUGCCACCGGGCCGGGCCCAUUACUAUUCCCUUUAACAGGCAAGGAAAUUGAGACCCCGAUAAAUUAAGUAAUCUACCCAACACCAUACCAUUUGUAAGUGGUGGAGUUGGUGUUCUAAUCCAGGCAUUCUGGGUUCCAUAACCCACAUUCUUAACUUCUUUAUUAAGCUGAAAGUGCUUCCCUCUGUCAAACCAAAAUCUAUCUUCCUAUAACUUCCACUCACUAAUUCUGGUUUUGUCUUCUUGCAGGGGGUCUCAAGUCUUUCUUCUCAUCUGCAUGACAAGCAUGCGUGUAUUUGUAAAAAGUUUUCAUGUUCUCCCCAGCUAAACAUCUGUACUUCUUGCCUCACAUUUGCCGCGACCUAACUUUCAGACCCUUCACCAUGGUUGUUGUCAUUCUCCUUCUACGUGUACCCUGACUUAGCUUUUCAAAGUUGCUGUCUGAUCUACAGAACACUGGGGCUGCCCAAGAUGAUGUGAGAUGAUGUGAGGCAACAGUGGGUGGGAUGGGGGAAUGAACAAGCAUUCCUGUCCCUUUGCCCCUUCCCUGGGUAGAGGCUAAUUCUAAGCUAGACUGCCAGGGAUCGCUUUGUCCGAGCCUGAGGAAGCUGUCCACCAGGAGGUAAGUCAAGAUGGGCCUUGCCCUCUCUUUCCUUUUUCAUAGAUCAACUUUUUCCUCAACAGGAUCUUUCCUACUUUCUUUUUCUCUGAUCCAGGUUCUUCAAAGUAACCUUACUUGAAUUACUUCAAUUACUUGAAGCAAAGAGGUUACUGCAGGAGAUGGGCAGAAACAUAUGCUUCUAGCUGUGGGGGGGAGUGUCCAGAGGUUUUCACUGACCCCUGCUGUGAGGUAGAUUACCCAGAACUCUUGUGAGCCAGACACUGAACAAUGGCUCAUACCCAAAGAGGGGGCUGCAGAGAGGUCCUGGUCUUAAGCCAUCACUUCUCAGUGUCUGGGUUUCAGAACCAUUCUUGGUUAUGCCUUAGUGUCCCAAGUUAUCGCCCUUCCUCUUUGAAAGAUAGCAGUGAGGAACAGGGCAGGGGGAGGUGUAUGAGUGAGGAAAUGUUUUGUGGCUUAUGCUGGGAGUCAGGGUGGCUAGGUUUCUCAUCUUGACUAUUGCUAACCAGUUGUGUGACCAGGGACAAAUUGCCUAACCUCAGUGGACUGGAGUUUUCUCACAUGUGAACAUGAGCAGUUUGGAUUAUAUAUUCUGAAUGAUUUCUUAUAGCGCCAAAAUUUCUGAUUACAUAGUGUGUGAUUGUAAAGUAAUAUAAUAGUUUAUUUUUAACACGUGACAGAUAUUGUACAUAUCUUGUCCCCUUCAUUUUAAUUGUGGGACAAUUACAAUAUUUGUAAGUUUGUCCCCCUCAAAGUAAUUGUGUUCUCAGCCUAUACAUUUAUUCUGGUGAUGCUGCCAGUGCUCAGAAUAUUUUUGGCUUCUGGCCAACCUUUUUAAUAUCUUCAGAAGUAGCGAAUCUUCACUCUUGCUUGGUGGAUUCAAUUUUUGGAAACAGCCAGAAGAUACUGUGAGCCAAAGAGUCAAGCAAGGCAGUACCUUUUUUGGUGAAGAAUGAGGUGUGACUAUAAAACAGUAAGACUUAAUUUUUGUGUAUGUCUCACAUGGAGUAGACUUUAAAGGCAGUUCCAGAGGAGUGUUUUGUUAAUGUUUUGAGCAAUGGUAAUAUUGUUAGAAUAAACAAAUAGCUUUCUAAGGAGACUAUUUUGAUUACAGUUUUCAUUUGAUUUAGUAAGAUUGAAAAUACUUGUUUUAAAAAGUGUCACUUCCUUUAUUCAUCUGUUGCCAAUCUUCCUUUUUUUUUCCUUGAAGAUUAGCCCUGAGCUAACAUCUGUGCCAAUCUUCCUCUACUUUGCUUGUGGGUCGCUGCCACAGCAUGGCUGAUGAGUGGUGUUGGUCCAUGCCCAGGAUCUGAACCUGUGAACCCUGGGCUGCUGAGGUGGAGCAGGCUGAAUUUAACCACUACGCCAUGAGGCCAGCCCCUGUCAUUUCAUUUAUAUUCGCUGCAGAUUCUUGCUUCUAGGUCAAGAUAACUAGACAGUAGAGAAAAUUAGCCUUUCUCCUGAUAGUUCGCCUAAGUCACAAAUGUGUUGAGGGCCAAAAAGGGUUGGAACAUGUAGCUGUAGGACAUUAUAGCUGAGGAGACAUUGAAGUCCCAUCUCCAGAAGAUUCACAGCCACAGGUUCUUCAGGCUACAGCAGCCACUGUUCACCAGCAUGCCAGAGUCCAUCAGGAUGAUUCCUGGGUGUUGUGGCUGAAGUAGAUGGUUUGGUAGCUCCGAUCUUUUGUAGGAGAAAUGAUAGAUCAUCACUUCAUUGACUUUUUUUCUGUCAGCAGUUGUGGGUUUGAGAAAGGGUAGGGAUGGGCAGGAGGGUGGGGAGGGGAGUCAAAGCAGAGGGGCUAUCUUGAAUGCAUUUAAAUUAGGCUGAUUUUAGUACCUUGGAAUCUGUUACUGGAAAUGGUGGUCUGGUUGAUAACCUGUCGGUAAAGUAAGGUGUUAAGCAGCCUAGUCAAGCAGUUCUGUCACUAAGUCACUAUGUGAUCAUUUGCAAUUCUCUUUCUUACUCUAGGCCUUGUUUCCCUCGUUUUUAUAUUGAAUGAGUUAGACACUAGAAGUUCUAAAUCUGAAAACAGGUAGACCUAAGGAAGUUUGAGGUGGGGGAAGUAUCUAUUUGUUCUGAGCUGCUUAACUAUUAGAGUAGGGGUAGAAGUGGAAUUUCUUUUUAGCCCUAAAUUAUAGUGACUUUAUUCUCUACUUGCGGUCACAGCUGAGUGAUCAAACAUGAAGUAGCUAUAUAAUGAGAAGCAGGCACUGGGAACUUUCUCCUGAGAAACAAUCGCAGGACAUGCCGGUCCUGAGAGAAGUCACUCCUUGGGAGGAUCUAUUGUUUGAAAGAGGUGGGGGUGAAUUUCAUCAAAAUGGACAGCGUGGAUAUUGUGAUUUAGAAGAUUUAGAGACUUUGUUCCCUGCUGUUGUUAAUUUCAAGCUUUUCUUUAAAGGGAUUCUCUUAAUGAUUGGUGCAGUAGGAUUCGUUUAGAGAAAAAGCCCCAUGUAACCACAAUUAAAAGUUAAAUGCCCAAGAGCAGAGCCAGUUGCUGGAGAGACAAAGUGACCUACAUAAUCAGUUGCUUUUCAAUACUUAGAUCCUACAGUGACCCCAAGGAGAGAAUAGACUGCUUGGUGAGCUCACUAGGCACUAGGCUGGGAGAUUUGGGCUCCAAACAGAGGAGGAGGUAAGCUGUAGAAUCCACACCUCUUAAUCUCCCUAUUUCUCCUUUCCCUUAGUGCCCUUUAGUUUUAAUUAGGAUUGUGUAAAUAUACUCAGUUCGCCAGUCCCCUUAAAGUGGCAGGCCCAUGACAUUUUCUCUUGGUCACUCAUGCUAAGUAUGUGACUUUAAAUUAGAGGGAUUCUCCUCUUUGACAGUUUGGCUUCAUUGGCUGCCUCACUGAAAAGAAUUCACUAGGUUAGGGCCAGUUGGCUGUCAUUCAGUCAGGCAGCAUAAUUUACUAUCUACUGUGUGUAAGCACUGUACUGCAAUGGAGCUGAUAGGUGAAUAAGAUGGUUUCUGCUCUCCAGGAGCUUAGUCAAGUGAAAUAUGUAUGCAGCUAAUAUUGACCCAAGGAGGAAUGAAGUAAAGUAUAUAGAGGAAUAAGCAAUAUGGGAGCAUAUAGACGAAAGAAAAGUUGUUCCUGAAUUGGGGGGAACAGGGAAAGCUUCUGAAGGGAGAAGGCAUUUGAGCCAGGUUAUAAAGGGUGAAUAGGAGUUCAGUAGGUUUAGAAGAAAGGGCGCUUUGGAGGAGGUCACAGCAUGGACAAAGGCACAAAGCCUGGAAAAUGCCUGGCAUGUUGGGAAAAAGUGUUCCCGAGGUAGGAGAUAUUUUAGAGGAAUGAACUGGAGGUGAGGCUGGAAAAGAAGUUUGACAGUUGGAUUUUAAAGAACCGUAAGUGUCAUGCUAAGGGAUUUGCAUUUUAUUCUGCAUAGAGUUAGCUGCUGAAUUUUUUUAAACAUUUUUUUAAAAUUGCUUUUACUCCCCAAAUCCCCCCAGUACAUAGUUGUAUAUUUUAGUUGUGGGUCCUUCUAGUUGUGGCAUGUGGGAUGCCUCCUCAACAUGGCCUGAUGAGUGGUGCCAUGUCCGCGCUCAGGAUCGUAACUGGCAAAACCCUGGGCCGCCGAAGUGGAGCGUGCAAACUUACCCACUUGGCCACGGGGCCAGCCCCUGCUGAAUGUUUUUGAUGUAAGGAAUAACAUGACCCAAUCCAUUUUAGUUAGAUCUUAGUCUGUUUUUUUAAGUGUGAAGUCUUAGAUUUCAGGGUUGGAGAAGGUGGGGGUCCUGGUUCUUAGAGUUUGUCAGGCAUCUCAUGUUUGGGUGCUUGAUUCCUCAGUUGUAUUUACUAAAGCAACUCCAAAAGCGAGAAGGCAGGGAGUGGUCAGCAGUGUCCCUUUAGACUGAGCUUCCCAACCCCCAAAAGAUGAAGGUUUUCUCAAGCAUAUACAUUAUGCACAGUCUUCUUGCUAGUAGGUUGCUUACUACUGUUAAUGCUUUGAUGAUAAAAUUUCUCAAAAGGGGUGGACUUUUGAUUAUAUAGUGGAACCCAAAAAUAUUGUUUUGAACCUGAUUAAAAAAUAGUAUGUAUGGCACUGGUCCUGUGGCUGAGUGGUUAAAGUUCUGCGCACUCUGCCUCGUUGGCCUGGGUUCACAGGUUUGGAUCCCGGGCACAGACUUGCACCACUCAUCAGCCGUGCUGUGGGGCAUCCCACGUACAAAAUGGAGGAAGAUUGGCACAGAUGUUAGCUCAGGGCUAAUCUUACUCAAGCGAAAAAGGAAGAGCACUGAGGUCAGCCCCGUGGCCAAGUGGUUAAGUUUGCACUCUGCUUUGGCAGCCCAGGAUUCACAGUUCAGAUCCUGGAUGUGGACUUAUGCACCACUCAUCAGGCCACGCUGUGGCAGCAUCCCACAUAGAGGAACUAGAAUGACCUACAACUAGGAUAUACAAUUAUGUACUGGGGCUUUGGGGAGAGAAAGAAAGGAAAAAAAAAGAGGAAGAUUGGCAACAGAUGUUAGCUCAAGGUGACUCUUUCUCACCAAAAAGAAAAAAAGUAGUGUAUAUUUAUUGUAGGAAAUAUGAAAAAUAUAGAAAAGUUUAAAGAAGAAAACUAAAAUCAUCCAUAACCCCACCAUCUAGAGAAACUCAAACUCACUUAUUCCCAUUUUAAUACUUCCUUUUAAUAUUUUGUUCCUAUGCAUAUUUCUCUUUUGCAUAGUCCAGAUCAUACAUUAUCUACAAUUUUAUAUUCUGCUUUCUUCCUGUUUACCAUUGUUUUCAUUGUAUAAAUUCACAUUUACUUAUAAUGUUACUGAAACUCUUUAUAAAUAUUUCUAAUAGCU